UACGGGGGGAGCAAGCGUUGUUCGGAUUUACUGGGCGUAAAGCGCACGUAGGCGGAUUGUUAAGUCGGGGGUGAAAUCCUGGAGCUCAACUCCAGAAUUGCCUUCGAUACUGGCUUUCUAGAGGCUGGAAGAGGUUAGUGGAAUUCCCAGUGUAGAGGUGAAAUUCGUAGAUAUUGGGAAGAACACCAGUGGCGAAGGCGGCUAACUGGUCCAGAUCUGACGCUGAGGUGCGAAAGCGUGGGGAGCAAACAGG
rnacentral:rRNA from 1 species